UACGAAGGGUGCAAGCGUUACUCGGAAUUACUGGGCGUAAAGGGUGCGUAGGUGGUUGUUUAAGUCUGUUGUGAAAGCCCCGGGCUCAACCUGGGAAUGGCAAUGGAUACUGGACAGCUAGAGUGCGGUAGAGGGUAGUGGAAUUCCCAGUGUAGAGGUGAAAUUCGUAGAUAUUGGGAAGAACACCGGUGGCGAAGGCGGCGACCUGGUCCUUGACUGACGCUGAGGCGCGAAAGCGUGGGGAGCAAACAGG
rnacentral:rRNA from 1 species